GAUGAACGCUGGCGGCGUGCCUAAUACAUGCAAGUCGAGCGAACAGACGAGGAGUUUGCUCCUCUGACGUUAGCGGCGGACGGGUGAGUAACACGUGGAUAACCUACCUAUAAGACUGGGAUAACUUCGGGAAACCGGAGCUAAUACCGGAUAAUAUAUUGAACCGCAUGGUUCAAUAGUGAAAGACGGUUUUGCUGUCACUUAUAGAUGGAUCCGCGCCGCAUUAGCUAGUUGGUAAGGUAACGGCUUACCAAGGCAACGAUGCGUAGCCGACCUGAGAGGGGGAUCGGCCACACUGGAACUGAGGCACGGUCCAGACUCCUACGGGAGGCAGCAGUAGGGAAUCUUCCGCAAUGGGCGAAAGCCUGACGGAGCAACGCCGCGUGAGUGAUGAAGGUCUUCGGAUCGUAAAACUCUGUUAUUAGGGAAGAACAAAUGUGUAAGUAACUAUGCACGUCUUGACGGUACCUAAUCAGAAAGCCACGGCUAACUACGUG
rnacentral:rRNA from 1 species